UAGAUUUCGAAAAGCAGAAAAACGUAUAGAAUUUCAAUCAUGUUUCAAUUAUAAAACAAUCACUGCAUUAAUCGAACUUUUAAUUAUCAUCCAUCGUCUGUUUCAAUCAUCGCAAUCAAUCAUUCAGUGAAAUUCCAAUGAUCGAAUAGAAACGAAACGAUUCGUAACCACGCAUUGAAACUGUAAUCUUUUUAUAGAGAAAACCCCUAAUUCAUCCACGCUAAUAUCAAUUUCUAGAAUAUCCAGGAAUUCAUUCGUGAAAUAUUUCAAAUAUCAUAAAGAAACAAAUUAAUUAUGAUGGUCGAUUAUCGUAUUAGAAUAAAUCCUGAUUCAUUCAUAAGAAGAAAAAAUAAAAUGAAAAAGGAAAAGUAUGAAAAAAAAUUGAUGGAGAAAAGAAAUGAGAAAAGGAUAUGAAAGAAAAAAACAAGAAAAAAAAACAGAAAGAAAAAAAAGGAAAUAAUAAAGACAUAGAAAGAAAAGAAGAAUUUGGGAAGAGCGAAAGAAGAAGAAAGGCAACGACAAUAGAAAAGAGAGAAGAAAUUGGCAAGAAUGAGAAAGGGAGAAAGGAAAUUUGACGGUGGCGAGAGGGGAAAAGGGAAAAAGACGAAGAGCGUUCGCCGGAUAAUCCUUGGAGUCAUUUGUCUGCCGACUGUUGAGACGCUCAUUUGUUCGCGGCGCGAUGACAGAUGACAAUGAAGUAGAGAUCGUGCCACGGUCAUGGAGCGUGGGUUGAUAAAGGUGGAGGAAAGGGGGAAAAAAGCAGCAGCAUACCCCGCCUCUAGCAGUUAGGAUGCAGAUCUGUUUGCCGUUCGUGCCUCAAUUAUUCUCGGAUCAUCGUUGUGUAUCGGUCUGCAGAACAAUCGAAUCGUAUUUGUGUCGCCGUGAUUAAAAACAUAAUGUUCUGUUUCGCAAGCGAUAAGUCGUUCUCUGAAAAGAGAGAAAGAAAAGGAAGUAUCACAUUGAACGUAUUCAUGUAAAAUUUUUACAUACAAUUCUUAUUAUAAUAUUUUAUUAUUUAAUCAAACGUUACAUUAAAAAAUUUGCAAUGCAAUUAUUUUAAUGUUUUAGGCUUUUAUUUCUUUUAUUAAAUAUAGUUUGUCGAAAGAAGAAGAUAAAGUAAAAUAUCGAAAAAAGCAUCCGGCCAGUCGAAAACGAAGAAACGGAGAGUCGUGAAGAAUGAAACUAAGCGCUGCAAAGCUGAAGGGGAAAUAGACGAAGAAGAGAGAAGAAGAAACUAUCGUUCUCUUCCUGGCUAUUAAAUUUAAUAGCCAAUAUCUCCCCUAUUGCUAGCACUUUUUAUGCCUUUUAUCUCCUUGCGAUUCUUUCAAGAUAAGUAAACAUUGAUUUUCUUUAAUAAAUCAAUCUUUCUUAGAUUGUUGA